UACGUAGGGUGCGAGCGUUGUCCGGAAUUACUGGGCGUAAAGGGUGCGUAGGUGGUUCGUUAAGUCUGAUGUGAAAGCCCUGGGCUCAACCUGGGAAUUGCAUUGGAUACUAGCGGGCUAGAGUACGGUAGAGGGUGGCGGAAUUCCUGGUGUAGCAGUGAAAUGCGUAGAGAUCAGGAGGAACAUCCGUGGCGAAGGCGGCCACCUGGACCAGUACUGACACUGAGGCACGAAAGUGUGGGGAUCAAACAGGAUUAGAUACCCCGGUA
rnacentral:rRNA from 1 species